rnacentral:rRNA from 1 species
UACGUAGGUGGCAAGCGUUGUCCGGAAUUAUUGGGCGUAAAGCGCGCGCAGGCGGUCCUUUAAGUCUGAUGUGAAAGCCCACGGCUCAACCGUGGAGGGUCAUUGGAAACUGGGGGACUUGAGUACAGAAGAGAAGAGUGGAAUUCCACGUGUAGCGGUGAAAUGCGUAGGAGAUGUGGAGGAACACCAGUGGCGAAGGCGACUCUUUGGUCUGUAACUGACACUGAGGCACGAAAGCGUGGGGAGCAAACAGG